GAUGAACGCUGACAGAAUGCUUAACACAUGCAAGUCAACUUGAAUUUGGGUUUUUAACUUAGGUUUGGGUGGCGGACGGGUGAGUAACGCGUAAAGAACUUGCCUCACAGCUAGGGACAACAUUUGGAAACGAAUGCUAAUACCUAAUAUUAUGAUAAUAGGGCAUCCUAUAAUUAUGAAAGCUAUAAGCGCUGUGAGAGAGCUUUGCGUCCCAUUAGCUAGUUGGAGAGGUAACGGCUCACCAAGGCGAUGAUGGGUAGCCGGUCUGAGAGGGUGAUCGGCCACAAGGGGACUGAGACACGGCCCUUACUCCUACGGGAGGCAGCAGUGGGGAAUAGUGGACAAUGGACCGAGAGUCUGAUCCAGCAAUUCUGUGUGCACGAUGAAGUUUUUCGGAAUGUAAAGUGCUUUCAGUUGGGAAGAAACAAAUGACGGUACCAACAGAAGAAGUGACGGCUAAAUACGUG
rnacentral:rRNA from 1 species